UACGUAGGUGACAAGCGUUGUCCGGAUUUACUGGGCGUAAAGGGCGCGUAGGCGGUGUGUCAAGUCAGGCGUGAAAGCCCCGGGCUCAACCUGGGAACCGCGCUUGAGACUGGCACGCUCGAGUUCGGGAGAGGAUGGUGGAAUUCCCAGUGUAGAGGUGAAAUUCGUAGAUAUUGGGAAGAACACCGAUGGCGAAGGCAGCCAUCUGGACCGACACUGACGCUGAGGCGCGAAAGCGUGGGGAGCAAACAGG
rnacentral:rRNA from 1 species